rnacentral:rRNA from 1 species
UACGUAGGGGGCUAGCGUUGUCCGGAAUCAUUGGGCGUAAAGGGCGCGUAGGCGGCUAUGAAAGUCAGAAGUGAAAUCCCCGGGCUUAACCCGGGAAUUGCUUUUGAAACUCCAUAGCUAGAAUCCGGGAGAGGUUAGCAGAAUUCCCAGUGUAGAGGUGAAAUUCGCAGAUAUUGAGAGGAAUACCAGUGGCGAAGGCGGCUAACUGGACCGGCAUUGACGCUGAGGUACGAAAGCGUGGGUAGCAAACAGG